AGAGUUUGAUCCUGGCUCAGAACGAACGCUGGCAGCGUGGAUUAGGCAUGCAAGUCGAGCGAGAAAGCUCACUUCGGUGAGUGAGUACAGCGGCGAACUGGUGAGUAACAGGUGGGUAAUGUGCCCAAAUGUGGGGGAUAGCUCCGGGAAACCGGGAUUAAUACCGCAUGUUCUCUAUUGGUAUAAGUUGAUAGAGUAAAGAUGCACUUCGGUGUGUUGCAUUUGGAUCAGCCCGUCUCCGAUUAGCUUGUUGGUGGGGUAAUGGCCUACCAAGGCGACGAUCGGUAGCUGGCCUGAGAGGGUGGUCAGCCACACUGGGACUGAGAUACGGCCCAGACUCCUACAGGGGGGCAGCAGUCUAGAGGCAUCCGCAAUGGGGGAAACCCUGACGGUGCGACGCCGCGUGUGGGAUGAAGGUUCUUGGAUCGUAAACCACUGUUGCAGGGGAAUAAGGCUAUAGAUGUGCCCAUCUAUAGAUUGAAGGUACCCUGUGAGGAAGCACUGGCUAACUCCGUGCCAGCAGCCGCGGUAAUACGGAGAGUGCGAGCGUUGUUCGGAUUCAUUGGGCGUAAAGGGCGUGUAGGCGGAUUGGUAAGUCUAUAGUGAAAUCUCACCGCUUAACGGUGAAACUGCUGUGGAAACUGCCAGUCUCGAGGAUGUCAGAGGAGAGUGGAAUUCCUGGUGUAACGGUGGAAUGUUUAGAUAUCAGGAAGAACAUCGGUGGCGAAGGCGACUCUCUGGGGCAUACCUGACGCUGAGGCGCGAAAGCUAGGGGAGCGAACGGGAUUAGAUACCCCGGUAGUCCUAGCCGUAAACGGUGAGUACUGGGUGUAGGGGGAUCGACCCCCUCUGUGCCGAAGCUAACGCAUUAAGUACUCCGCCUGGGAAGUACGGCCGCAAGGUUGAAACUCAAAGGAAUUGACGGGGGCCCGCACAAGCGGUGGAGCAUGUGGUUUAAUUCGAUGCAACGCGAGGAACCUUACCUGGGCUUAAACUGAAGGGAAAAACUGCCGAAAGGCAGUGUGCUUCGGCGCCCUUUAGAGGUGCUGCAUGGCUGUCGUCAGCUCGUGUCGUGAGAUGUUGGGUUAAGUCCCGCAACGAGCGCAACCCCUAUCGUUAGUUACCAGCGGAUUAUGCCGGGGACUCUAACGAGACUGCCCACGCAAGUGGGAGGAAGGUGGGGACGACGUCAAGUCAUCAUGGCCCUUACGUCCAGGGCUACACACGUGCUACAAUGGCCGGUACAAAGUGUUGCGAGACCGCGAGGUGGAGCUAAUCACAAAAAGCCGCCCCCAGUUCGGAUUACAGUCUGCAACUCGACUGUAUGAAGUCGGAAUCGCUAGUAAUCCCGUAUCAGCAACGACGGGGUGAAUACGUUCCCGGGCCUUGUACACACCGCCCGUCACACCACGGAAGUCGGUUUUUCCGGAAGUCGGUGUACCAACCCCUUCGGGGGAGGAAGCUGCCGAUGGAGAGACUGGUAACUGGGGUGAAGUCGUAACAAGGUA
rnacentral:rRNA from 1 species